rnacentral:lncRNA from 10 species
UCAGGCCAACGUGUAUCCAGCGCCCUGGCACCUGAAGAUCAGAGGUGGUGAGAGGUGGCGCAUCAAGCACAGUCCUGAUGACACCAUCCUAUGGCCACCACCCUGAGCCUACUGUGGCUCCUGAGACCUUUAGGAAGAUGCUACACUGGUGGGGGCGAGGAGCCGCUAAUAGCUACAGUGGAAGGAAAUACUGAUUCCAGGAGGCAAACGCAUCUUUGAGAAACUGAGGAGAGAAGAGGGACCAGAAAAGGCUGCAGGGAGAAAGGAGAGAAGAGUGGAGAGGGAUUGGGUUGGGUUGGAGGUGGUCUUUGCAAACCAGGCUGGGACCCAGCACAAUAAAUAGUUUUAUUUACAACAUCCAAACUCGUGGCUCUGUAUCCACGUUUCAGUGCAAAUUAUUUACACACUGAUGAGGAGGCAGGACAGGAAGGGGUAGGAGGUGGCCCAGGGAGGCAUGGCUCACAGCUGUUCAAUGGCUCCACGACAGAGACUGGGAGAAUGGGGGCAUUUCUGCUGGUUCCCCCAACCUCAUUUCCACAUCAUCACAGCUGCCCUUUUGCCCUGUAACCUCCUGCUUCAGCUACAGGUGGGGAGGAGAAAGGCCCUGAUGCCCAGGUGUGGGUUCAGGGUCUGCACCCAUGGCAGGAGAAUAGGAAGGGACUUAGGAGGACCCGGAGAAAACGCAGGACAAAGGGGAAGAAGAGAGGCAGAGAGGUCGCUGGCGCGAUGGAGCAGGCAGAAUGACACCAUCAGGAGCCGACCCCAUGGCGGAGGGGACCCAUCCUUCUCUCACCUCCUGGCCAAGCAGGGGGCAGUGCAACAAGGGGUCUCCCGCGGAGAGGGAGGGAGGUAGGUCCGGGGCAGGUCCAUCAGGAUGGCAAGAGGGUUCAUGCCGCCCCAGGCAAGUGGUUUGAGGAGUCCCCAGGUAGGAGGAAGUGGGAGAGAUGGGAUGCGUAUGAACCGCGGGGAGUGUGACUGGAGGUACUCGGGUGGGCGAAUAACCGGGUCUUGAGUGCUAGCGAGUCUGUUUGGGGGAGGGCUCGAGGAGAGCGUUCCUGGGGGCGAGUCCGCGCAGCGCCUCACAGACACUCGUGCAGUACGCGCGUGUGCGUGCAGUUGCGGCA